rnacentral:snoRNA from 2 species
AGAUCGAUGACGACUCCCUCAAUCUGCAUUUCUUGGAAAAGUUGAACAAAAUGAGUGAGAACUCCCUACCGUCGUUCUGAUCAAAACUGAAGUCC